UAGCCAAAGAAAUUUUGAAUGCAGUGAAGGAUGUGGAACCAAAGAAUACAACAAAGGAAAUACCAAGCAAAUACGGACUGCGGGAGCAAGUUCCAGUGAAGAGAUUUUCGGAUUCGUGGUGUGCUGACCAACCUCUGCCAUUGAAACGAAUACGAAGACCUGAAUAUGCGGCAUUGAAGAUCCAAACACAGAAACCGAAUCCUGAGGUGCAGCUUAAAAGCACAAAAUGUGUCGAAAAGACGACAGUGACAAGAAAAGCCAUGCGUGAGUAUUUGUUUAGAAAC